GACGUAGGGCGCGAGCGUUGUCCGGAUUUAUUGGGCGUAAAGAGCUCGUAGGCGGCCAGGUAGGUCGGUUGUGAAAACUGGAGGCUCAACCUUCAGAGGUCGACCGAAACCAUCUGGCUAGAGUCCGGGAGAGGAGAGUGGAAUUCCUGGUGUAGCGGUGAAAUGCGCAGAUAUCAGGAAGAACACCCGUGGCGAAAGCGGCUCUCUGGAACGGUACUGACGCUGAGACGCGACAGCGUGGGGAGCGAACUGG
rnacentral:rRNA from 1 species